UACGGGGGGGGCAAGCGUUGUUCGGAAUUACUGGGCGUAAAGGGCUCGUAGGCGGCCAACUAAGUCGGAUGUGAAAUCCCCAGGCUCAACCUGGGAACUGCAUCCGAUACUGGAUGGCUUGAAUCCGGGAGAGGGAUGCAGAAUUCCAGGUGUAGCGGUGAAAUGCGUAGAUAUCUGGAGGAAUACCGGUGGCGAAGGCGGCAUCCUGGACCGGAAUUGACACUGAGGAGCGAAAGCCAGGGGAGCAAACGGG
rnacentral:rRNA from 1 species